GUGCAAACCUGUCCUGCACUUAAGACACGCGUGUACGGAUACCGGAAAAGAAAAAUAUACGAAGAAUGAGAUAUGCUUCGCAUUAUAACGAUUCUGACUGUUGCGAACUUUUUUCGAGUUCAAUUGCACUGAUGAUUGAUCAUAUAUCUUGAAAAACAAUCGUUAAUCACUCACAACUAACGAACGCUUAAUAUUUUUGUUUUGUUUUUUAUCUCUUUACCGGAUUUUUAACAAGCUCGAGACAGAAUGUUUUCUACGGAUGCAUAGAAUGUAUAGUAUGGUACUCGUAAAUACAUAAUAUCUCGAGAGACCUUGAAAGUGUUGAACAUUUAAAGUUAAUAAUAAGGUAGAAUUAUUGUCCAAUUAAGUUUCUUAUUAAUAUUGGUAUUUGCAUAUUUUUAGUCGAAGCAGCUUGUUUGAUCGUUGUGCGAAUCUUUAAUCAUCAUAUAACGCGAAAACGAAAUUGGACGCGAGCAUUGCUUGCUGAUUCACUCGAGGACAAAGACACGCGCCGCUACUUGAAUCCUCAUGAUAACGUUUAGCCAUUAAAAAUGCUACUCUCGUAGCUGGAAGUGACCGCAAAGAGGACAAUGUUUGCCAGUCAAGCCGUCAGAUUCCAUACUUGUUAAAUGUACAUACGAAAUUUUAAAGAAGUUUUCAUCGAGUUUUAUCUUGCAAUCUUAUUUAAACAAGAUAAAGAUUAUAAAAUAUCGAGUGAUUUUUCAAGUGGAUCAAUAAUGAAAGAGAUUAAAGAGUAUCGAAACGUUUAACGAUCAUUUAAUAAAUUGUUGAACAUUAUUCAUUGUUUUUAUCUUAUCAUCGGAAAAUAUGUUUCGAUAAAUUUUUGUUACAUGCAUAAGAUCUUGUUGAAAAUCUAAGAAUUUUUUUGAAUUAAAAUUAAAAAAAAAAAUCUGUCAUUCAUUUUAUGGUAGAAAAAUAUAUAUAAAAUAAACAAAUGGAUAAAAUGUGAUAUUCCACAAACAGUUGCAAAUGAUUAUUAAAAUUUAAGAUUAAGCAACAAGAGAAAGAAAGGAAUAAAAAUUUGAUGGAAGAAUAAGUGAAAGAAUGGCACGAACCUUGCGAAGAGGGAAUACGUUCUCCAAAAAAAAUGAGCCGAUCGUUGUGUGGCGAUCGAGGUGUGAAUGGUGGUCGAUUCCAGCGUACUGGCAGCGAUUGAUGAUUGAAAAGCCGCGAGAGCCAGGCCCCUCGACUCUCCACCGCGCUAGGUCGUCCGCGAUGAAUUUUUCAAAGCAUACCACCCGCCUCGUGGGGAGGGCUAACUUGCAUGAAUCUGGUAUUCUGAACGCGGCUGGACGCCCAUAUAUACCUACUCCAUCGUCGCUCCAGGGACCCCUCGGCUCCCGCACCCUACGGGAGGAGGCCCUGUCUCCGACGUCCUUGACCACGAAGAAAACCAUCAUGUACGUACACCAAUUCUCGACCUUACACGCCACGGCAACGACACACCGUUGUCGUGAUUUUGCUUGUGUGCGUGUUGCUGCAUCUCUGCUUGUAUCUCUCUCCAACAGUUGUUCGCGCCUUCUAAUCUCUCCGCAUGCGUAAGGAACAAUCUGGAAACGGCUGCUUUCAUGGAACGCAAUUCAUUAAAAUUGUUUAUAACUUGAAAGAUUGUUUAUACCAUUGGAUUGGAAAGGAAGAAAAUUGAUCAACUUUGUGAUCAAUGAGAGUAUAUAACUUGAUCCUCCAAGUUUUCUGGAAGCAAAAAGCGGUUUGAAAGGAAUUUUAAAAAAAAGUUUGUCCCAUCAAAUUCAAAUUUGAAUAUACAUAUAUAUAUCUGUGCUUUUGUUAUUUUACAAUACUCGAACCGGUUGUCCAAAAAUUCAAAUCGUAUAAAUUUACGAUUUACAACCGGUUCUGGUUUAAUGUAUGGACGAGAUUUUUUUUAAUUAUGUCCAUUAUUACGACACAUUAUAACCAUUUUAAAAACUAUUCCAAAUGAUUGAUGGACAUCUCUCACGAAAUCGUUCGAGGUAUGAAAAUAUAUUCUAUCAUCCUCAAAUUGGCACGAUUGAUUACAUUAUCAAUUUCAAGGGAUAAUACGUAUGCCAUUCUCGUCCCUCUCUUUGACAUACCUUGGCUUCAAUGAUGCUGGAAACCUGUUGGUAUAAAUAUUUCCGCUGAAUGAAAUCCGCAAAUUUAUUAUACAAUAGAGAUCAAGAAUAUGAAGAGAUGAAAUUACCAUGUGUCACGAAAAAAACAUCUUUUUUUUUUUUUUACAAUAAACAUCGGUUCAAAAAUGUACAAUGCACCUCUCAUCGAGGUUUUCUAUUGUAUCCUCGGAGUAAAGACAGGAGAACGACUUUUAUCGUAUUCCAGAGAGAAAUCGAACAAAAAAAGAUAAAACGAGAAAAGGAAAAAAUAGAAUUCGAAAAUAAAGAAUUUUUAAAUUCUAUUAUAUUUUUAUCGUGGAACGAAACUGGAAGAUAACUAAUUAGGAUUUCUUCUCGAAGAACUUGAAUUCGAGAAUUGAUUGCAGCCCGAGGAUCUCUGUAGCAUCCUAUAAAAAAAUAAGGCAAUUUAGUGUAAAAAUGCCGAUGAUUCGCCUUGAACUUGCGACCGGUUAUUUUAUCGACCUGUUUUCUAACAGAGAGAGAGAGAGAGAGAGAGAAAGAGAGGAAAAAAAGAAAAAAGAAAGAAAGAUUGGAGAAGAAGCCCAAACUAAAAAAAACUUUUACAAGUAACAAAUUUUUAAUACUGGAAUCGCGAUUAGAAGAAGGGAAAGAAAGAUAAAAAAAGAAGAAGAAGAAGAAGAAAGACGGGAUGGGACUGGUAUUCAAAUUUAGAAAAAUGUCAAUAGGUGUUUAAUUGUUUCUCAUUCCUCCGAAUGAAUCCAGCGUGAAAGAUCCAGUUUGUGCUCGAGGGCCAACACAGAUUAUUGGCGUGGUAGUCUUUGAGGUUCAUUGGCAUCGGGAAGUCAAAUGUGUUUCGAUACAGGUUGUAUGAGUUUUUCGUACCGUAGAACCUGUUAAAGCGUUUUAAACGGCUAAACGGAAUGCAUAAUUAAAUCAUAUAGCUAUAACUCGUAUAUGACAGACUACUAUACACAAAUAGAUUUAUAUGUGGAAAGGAUAUGUAACAUCAUUACCUGCGACAUAAUCGUGGAAAGAAUGAAUGAAACGAGUGGAAAUGGAGAAGAGGAAAGUCUGGAGGAUAAGCCAACGAUAAAUUUUACUUAAUUUUAUCACGAGCCUUGAUCUAAUAGAAUGAUAUAUCGUGUCGUCCACCAGAAAGAAAAAAAAAACUCAUUAAUGCAUUUUUUUCUUUCCAAAAUUAAUAUUUAAGCGACCGUUCAAAAUUUUCCCAUGGAUGUGUAUGACACGAGAAAGCUAUUAACAGAAAGGUAAUAGAUAAUUCGACAGGCAUAAACGUUGAUUCGUUUCGUUCGUGCCAUGUUUCUAUCAAUCUCCUGUGAUUUAUACAAUGUAC